rnacentral:rRNA from 1 species
UGCCAGACUCCUACGGGAGGCAGCAGUGGGGGAUAUUGCACAAUGGGGGGAACCCUGAUGCAGCGACGCCGCGUGGGUGAAGAAGCGCCUCGGCGCGUAAAGCCCUGUCAGCAGGGAAGAAAAUGACGGUACCUGAAGAAGAAGCCCCGGCUAACUACGUGCCAGCAGCCGCGGUAAUACGUAGGGAGCAAGCGUUGUCCGGAAUUACUGGGUGUAAAGGGAGCGUAGGCGGGAUAGUAAGUUGAUUGUUAAAACUAUCGGCUCAACUGGUAGAUGCGAUCAAAACUGCAAUUCUUGAGUGAAGUAGAGGCAGGCGGAAUUCCUAGUGUAGCGGUGAAAUGCGUAGAUAUUAGGAGGAACACCAGUGGCGAAGGCGGCCUGCUGGGCUUUAACUGACGCUGAGGCUCGAAAGUGUGGGUAGUAAACAGGAUUAGAUACCCUCGUACUG